rnacentral:rRNA from 1 species
UGGGGAAUAUUGGACAAUGGGGGGCAACCCUGAUCCAGCAAUGCCGCGUGUGUGAAGAAGGUCUUCGGAUUGUAAAGCACUUUCGACGGGGACGAUGAUGACGGUACCCGUAGAAGAAGCCCCGGCUAACUUCGUGCCAGCAGCCGCGGUAAUACGAAGGGGGCUAGCGUUGCUCGGAAUGACUGGGCGUAAAGGGCGUGUAGGCGGUUUACACAGUCAGAUGUGAAAUCCCCGGGCUUAACCUGGGAGCUGCAUUUGAUACGUGUAGACUAGAGUGUGAGAGAGGGUUGUGGAAUUCCCAGUGUAGAGGUGAAAUUCGUAGAUA